ACCAACCCCACACAGCUCCUCCUUCCCUUCCUCCUCUGCCUUCUCCUAUUUCGUUCCCCUGUAAUAUUGAAAGACCAAAUUUGGUUUCCAGGAACUACUCCCAAAUUUAAUCAGUAAAAUAAAUACCCAUAGUCCAUUUAUUUGACCCAUUAAAGAAAGAAGAGGUCCUUGGAGCUCAAGAAGAACGGCUCAUCGAAAGUAAGGAAAACGAGUGCUAAUAGAGGUUGAGGUACCGAAGAGGACAACGGGAUGGAUUAGUGGUGAGGAC